rnacentral:ncRNA from 1 species
GACCCCGUGCGCAACUGGCGAUAGGCACUCAAGGUGCGGGGCUCGCUACCCCACCUUCGGUGCUGACGUGGCCCCCCUGCCCCAUCCGGGACACCAGGGACAACCACUGGGAAGCGUGCCGCCUGGCUGCCAAGACAGGUGAUCAGCCGUUCGCCUGGGCAGCCCCU